GAUGAACGCUGGCGGCGUGCCUAAUACAUGCAAGUCGAGCGAACAGACGAGGAGCUUGCUCCUCUGACGUUAGCGGCGGACGGGUGAGUAACACGUGGAUAACCUACAUAUAAGACUGGGAUAACUUCGGGAAACCGGAGCUAAUACCGGAUAAUAUAUUGAACCGCAUGGUUCAAUAGUGAAAGACGGCUUUGCUGUCACUUAUAGAUGGAUCCGCGCCGCAUUAGUUAGUUGGUAAGGUAACGGCUUACCAAGGCAACGAUGCGUAGCCGACCUGAGAGGGUGAUCGGCCACACUGGAACUGAGACACGGUCCAGACUCCUACGGGAGGCAGCAGUAGGGAAUCUUCCGCAAUGGGCGAAAGCCUGACGGAGCAACGCCGCGUGAGUGAUGAAGGUCUUCGGAUCGUAAAACUCUGUUAUUAGGGAAGAACAAAUGUGUAAGUAACUAUGCACGUCUUGACGGUACCUAAUCAGAAAGCCACGGCUAACUACGUG
rnacentral:rRNA from 1 species